rnacentral:rRNA from 1 species
GUGCAUUAGCUAGUUGGUGAGGUAACGGCUCACCAAGGCAACGAUGCAUAGCCGACCUGAGAGGGUGAUCGGCCACACUGGGCGUACUGAGACACGGCCCAGACUCCUACGGGAGGCAGCAGUAGGGAAUCUUCCGCAAUGGACGAAAGUCUGACGGAGCAACGCCGCGUGAGUGAUGAAGGCUUUCGGGUCGUAAAACUCUGUUGUWAGGGAAGAACGUGAAGUACAAGAGUAACUGCUUGUACCUUGACGGUACCUAACCAGAAAGCCACGGCUAACUACGUGCCAGCAGCCGCGGUAAUACGUAGGUGGCAAGCGUUAUCCGGAAUUAUUGGGCGUAAAGCGCGCGCGUGAGGCGGUUUCUUAAGUCUGAUGUGAAAGCCCACGGCUCAACCGUGGAGGGUCAUUGGAAACUGGGGAACUUGAGUGCAGAAGAGAAAAGCGGAAUUCCACGUGUAGCGGUGAACGUAUGCGUAGAGAUGUGGAGGAACACCAGUGGCGAAGGCGGCUUUUUGGUCUGUAACUGACGCUGAGGCGCGAAAGCGUGGGGAGCAAACAGGAUUAGAUACCCUCGUGGUAGUCCACGCCGUAAACGAUGAGUGCUAAGUGUUAGAGGGUUUCCGCCCUUUAGUGCUGCAGCUAACGCAUUAAGCACUCCGCCUGGGGAGUACGGUCGCAAGACUGAAACUCAAAGGAAUUGACGGGGGCCCGCACAAGCGGUGGAGCAUGUGGUUUGUGAAUUCGAAGCAACGCGAAGAACCUUACCAGGUCUUGACAUCCUCUGACAACUCUAGAGAUAGAGCGUUCCCCUUCGGGGGACAGAGUGACAGGUGGUGCAUGGUUGUCGUCAGCUCGUGUCGUGAGAUGUUGGGUUAAGUCCCGCAACGAGCGCAACCCUUGAUCUUAGUUGCCAGCAUUUAGUUGGGCACUCUAAGGUGACUGCCGGUGGUGACACGUAACCGGAGGAAGGUGGGGAUGACGUCAAAUCAUCAUGCCCCUUAUGACCUGGGCUACACACGUGCUACAAUGGAUGGUACAAAGGGCUGCAAGACCGCGAGGUCAAGCCAAUCCCAUAAAACCAUUCUCAGUUCGGAUUGUAGGCUGCAACUCGCCUACAUGGUGAAGCUGGAAUCGCUAGUAAUCGCGGAUCAGCAUGCCGCGGUGAAUACGU